rnacentral:rRNA from 1 species
UACGUAGGGUGCAAGCGUUGUCCGGAAUUAUUGGGCGUAAAGAGCUCGUAGGCGGUUUGUCGCGUCUGCUGUGAAAACGCGAGGCUCAACCUCGCGCCUGCAGUGGGUACGGGCAGACUAGAGUGCGGUAGGGGAGAUUGGAAUUCCUGGUGUAGCGGUGGAAUGCGCAGAUAUCUGGAGGAACACCGAUGGCGAAGGCAGAUCUCUGGGCCGUAACUGACGCUGAGGAGCGAAAGCGUGGGGAGCGAACAGG